rnacentral:misc_RNA from 1 species
CUGAAUUGUCGACACGAGUUGUUGCUGGCCCUCAAAUGGGGGCAUGUGCACACUCUGUUUGCACAUCCACUCACACCUGUGCACUCUCUGUAGUUCUAUGGCCUGGGGGACUCUGUCCUCCUGCUGUGGUUCUAUGUCUUUACACACACACUGUAAUAAAGUCUCAUGGAAUGCAUGUCGCGUUUAACGCAAUACAAUA